rnacentral:rRNA from 1 species
UACGGAGGGUGCAAACGUUGCUCGGAAUCAUUGGGCGUAAAGCGCACGUAGGCGGCCUAGUAUGUCGGGUGUGAAAGCCCUCGGCUUAACCGGGGGAAGUGCAUUCGAAACUGCUAGGCUUGAGUACUGAAGAGGAUCGCGGAAUUCCCGGUGUAGAGGUGAAAUUCGUAGAUAUCGGGAGGAACACCAGUGGCGAAGGCGGCGAUCUGGGCAGAUACUGACGCUGAGGUGCGAAAGCGUGGGGAGCAAACAGG